CACGUAGGGGGCAAGCGUUGUCCGGAUUUACUGGGCGUAAAGAGCUCGUAGGCGGUUUGUCGCGUCUGCUGUGAAAACCCGAGGCUCAACCUCGGGCCUGCAGUGGGUACGGGCAGACUAGAGUGCGGUAGGGGAGAUUGGAAUUCCUGGUGUAGCGGUGAAAUGCGCAGAUAUCAGGAGGAACACCGGUGGCGAAGGCGGGUCUCUGGGCCGAUACUGACGCUGAGGAGCGAAAGCGUGGGGAGCGAACAGG
rnacentral:rRNA from 1 species